rnacentral:tRNA from 1 species
CAUUCGGUGCGACACCGGUGGUGUCGGGCGCCUGGUAGGCGCCGCUGCCGGCAAUGAUGGAAGCGACGAACGUGCCGUGGCCGUAGGG